GGUAAAAUGGCUGACGAUAGCAUUAGACUGUAAAUCUAAGAACGGAGGUUACAGCCCUCCUUUUACCA